AAAGGGAGCGUAGGCGGAUAGUUUAGUCAGAGGUGAAAGCCCAGGGCUCAACCUUGGAAUUGCCUUUGAUACUGGCUAUCUUGAGUACGGAAGAGGUAUGUGGAACUCCGAGUGUAGAGGUGAAAUUCGUAGAUAUUCGGAAGAACACCAGUGGCGAAGGCGACAUACUGGUCCGUUACUGACGCUGAGGCUCGAAAGCGUGGGGAGCAAACAGGAUUAGAUACCCCUGU
rnacentral:rRNA from 1 species